UACAUAGCAACUUCCUGCUUACUCUUAAACCUUAGUGCCACAAAUGCAGAAUUUGUGUACUUGAGUGAGUGAAAUGUCUCUCGUAGAAAUUUAUGUCAAGCCAUGAUGAGAGUGUAGCUUGUUAGUUAAUAGUACAAAUCAGGUUGUUACGGACAUGUUUAGAUUACUUAGAGAAAUGUUCUAAGGGAAUUAGCCCCAGUGGCCUAUUUGUGCCCACCAAUGGAUACUGCUAUUUACGUUUCCUUCAUUGAUCAAAGUAAACCAAACAGCAACUCUGCUAGUUUAGCAUCUCGUCACUUUAUGUGCUACUUUUCUUCAUGCUGCUUUAAAAUUUAUCAUUCGGUCCAGAAUAAUGAGAUUUUAUUUUGUUUAUGCCACACCUUUUAUACAGCUUAAAAUAUUUUUUUUCUGUAUUAGUAGUAUAAAGGUAGUGAUGAACAGAAUUCCCCUCAAAUAGGAAAAUAGUUGCCAAUUGUUCUGGCAUGUCUUUCAUUACUUCACUGACCCUAAAUAUAAUAAUUAGCUGAUUGUAAAGGGCAUCAGUCUGGUUGUACUACAAUUAAAUUGGGUGCUGGAUUGGCCUUUACACAUUAAUCUGUCAAUAUUCUUUUAAGGAUUGGUAAAAUGGCUUGGAAAAGAAGCUGUUUCUGUUACCUGCAUUGUACUCCUAAUUAUCACAGCUCUCUGAAGCUUCAACUUCAGAAAUGUGUAGAAGGAAAAUAUUUCCCUUGGUAAAUGAACCCUUGCUUUAUUCAAUUGGUGGAAGUUUAGAGUAGAGCAAAAUAUUUAAAGCUUUGCUAUACUGGUCUGAGAGCAAACUAUUUUUUUUCCAAGUGAUAUUGAAUUAAAAACUCCAUCCAUUUUCUGCCCAUGCAAGGCAGUGCAAUUCCCUGGAAAUUGAUUUUUUUUUUUUUCAGGGCUUGCAGUGGCUUUCCCCAAGCUUUAGCUAUAUGGAAAAGAACACCUUUAUUAAAUCCACUUAGUGAAUAAAGUUGGCAGUUAAUUUUUAAGCAUCUGGACCAGUGUGUAGAAAAUUACUGAAUGCAUCAAAUAAAGUCUGACUAGUCUUAAAGUCAUUUGAUAAAUAAUUGUAUAGGGAGCUCUCUAAACUCUAAAACAUUAUUUUAUGGGCACCUACUAUUCAUAAUACAAAUGAGAGUAGUUAUUUGUGGUAUAAUAGGUUUUAUAGAACCUUGAAAAACAUGCAAACUUAUAUAUAAAGUUACGAAAAUGACUUUAAUAAAAAUUACAUGCCUAUGUAUUUUUCCUUUAUGUAUUAUAAUAUUCGACUAUAUGUGCAUCUUAAGUGCAUUGAUUUCGUGCUUUUCCAUCUUCAUAAUAUGAUUUCUGCCUAAUUAUUGCUGUAUACUAGUUUGUUAUUUGCAAAGAAAAGCUAUAUCUACUCUAGGAAAAUCAUAAACAUUAUUUAGUUUGUUAAAUGUUAAUUAUGGGGGUCAUCUGAGGAGUUUUCUAGGGCUGAUUUAUUUACAGAUCAUGCAUUAGAUUACUGAGUGUGUGUGUGUAUUGUCUUCCUAAGUUUGACUUUGGUUAUGUGCAGUGCUCUUUGGCAUUGGUUAUAUGCAGUACUGGAGACUGUUUUCUUAUCAGUAUCUCUGACCUGACCCUUUUGAGCUAUGUUGUAUCAUUCCAUUUUGACA
rnacentral:lncRNA from 1 species